CUGCCCAAGGUUUAUAGAGAUGCAUGUGGGUCUGCCUGCCCAGGGUUUAUAGAGAUUCAUGUGGGUCUGCCUGCCCAGGGUUUAUAGAGAUGCAUGUGGGUCUGCCUGCCCAGGGUUUAUAGAGAUGCAUGUGGGUCUGCCUGCCCAGGGUUUAUAGAGAUUCAUGUGGGUCAACCUGCCCAGGGUUUAUAGAGAUGCAUGUGGGUCUGCCUGCCCAGGGUUUAUAGAGAUUCAUGUGGGUCUGCCUGCCCCAGGGUUUAUAUAGAUGCAUGUGGGUCUGCCCCAGGGUUUAUAGAGAUUCAUGUGGGUCUGCCUGCCCCAGGGUUUAUAUAGAUGCAUGUGGGUCUGCCCCAGGGUUUAUAGAGAUUCAUGUGAGUCUGCCUGCCCCAGGGUUUAUAGAAAUUCAUGUGGGUCAGCCUGCCGAGGGUUUAUAGAAAUGCAUGUGGGUCUGCCUGCCCAGGGUUUAUAGAGAUUCAUGUGGGUCUACCUGCCCCAGGGUUUAUAUAGAUGCAUGUGGGUCUGCCCCAGGGUUUAUAGAGAUUCAUGUGGGUCUGCCUGCCCCAAGGUUUAUAGAGAUGCAUGUGGGUCUGCCUGCCCAGGGUUUAUAGAGAUUCAUGUGGGUCUGCCUGCCCAGGGUUUAUAGAGAUGCAUGUGGGUCUGCCUGCCCAGGGUUUAUAGAGAUGCAUGUGGGUCUGCCUGCCCAGGGGUUAUAGAGAUUCACGUGGGUCUGCCUGCCCCAGGGUUUAUAGAGAUGCAUGUGGGUCUGCCUGCCCAGGGUUUAUAGAGAUUCAUGUGGGUCUGCCUGCCCAGGGUUUAUAGAGAUGCAUGUGGGUCUGCCUGCCCAGGUUUAUAGAGAUGCAUGUGGGUCUGCCUGCCCAGGGUUUAUAGAGAUGCAUGUGGGUCUGCCUGCCCAGGGGUUAUAGAGAUUCACGUGGGUCUGCCUGCCCCAGGGUUUAUAGAGAUGCAUGUGGGUCUGCCUGCCCAGGGUUUAUAGAGAUGCAUGUGGGUCUGCCUGCCCAGGGUUUAUAGAGAUGCAUGUGGGUCUGCCUGCCCAGGGUUUAUAGAGAUGCAUGUGGGUCUGCCUGCCCAGGGUUUAUAGAGAUGCAUGUGGGUCUGCCUGCCCAGGGGUUAUAGAGAUUCACGUGGGUCUGCCUGCCCAGGGUUUAUAGAGAUUCAUGUGGGUCUGCCUUCCCCCGGGUUUAUAGAGAUUCAUGUGGGUCUGCCUGCCCCAGGGUUUAUAGAGAUUCAUGUGGGUCUGCCUGCCCCGGGUUUAUAGAGAUUCAUGUGGGUCUGCCUUCCCCCGGGUUUAUAGAGAUUCAUGUGGGUCUGCCUUCCCCCGGGUUUAUAGAGAUUCAUGUGGGUCUGCCUUCCCCCGGGUUUAUAGAGAUUCAUGUGGGUCUGCCUGCCCAGGGUUUGUAGAGAUGCAUGUGGGUCUGCCUGCCCAGGGGUUUAUAGAGAUUCAUGUGGGUCUGCCUUCCCCCGGGUUUAUAGAGAUUCAUGUGGGUCUGCCUGCCCAGGGUUUGUAGAGAUGCAUGUGGGUCUGCCUGCCCAGGGGUUUAUAGAGAUUCAUGUGGGUCUGCCUUCCCCCGGGUUUAUAGAGAUUCAUGUGGGUCUGCCUGCCCCAGGGUUUGUAGAGAUUCAUGUGGGUCUGCCUGCCCGGGUUUAUAGAGAUUCAUGUGGGUCUGCCUGCCCAGGGUUUGUAGAGAUUCAUGUGGGUCUGCCUGCCCAGGGUUUGUAGAGAUUCAUGUGGGUCUGCCUGCCCAGGGUUUGUAGAGAUUCCAAAAUCUCAUUGGAGGAAGAUGACAGGUUAAGCCCCCUGGGAAGAGGGUGUGAGAGGGAGCUGGGCCCCAGAAGGUGCUGGAAGAUGAGCUUAGCAUCAAUACAGUGCAGCAACCCCCUGGCCUCUACAUGGGGAGAUGACCAGAGAGAGCACUGCCAGUCACAGACACCGGCAGAGAGACAGACAGAGAGAAAGACACUUGAGAACUACUGUGACAUCUUAAGUUCUCUGUGAAAUGAAGGUUUUGCACGUCAUCGACCUGUCAACAACAAACAAACGUUAAAUCAGAUUUGCAAUAAAUGUAUGGUAUAGAAAUGUCAAAUUUAUGACUGAGCCUAAAUAUGAAACACAUAAACACUUCACUUUGAUGACUGUCUACAAUAAAAUAUGUUAUUUAUCUGGAGCGAUUCUGAGGAUGAUGUCAGUAGCAUGAGCUUGCACAUGGUCGGCCAGAGUUCUCUCAUUUUACACCAUGUGUGGGGAGUGCUAGCGUCCGACACAGCUGGGGUUAAGAGUUGAUAUUAAUGGCAUUGCGUUGGUCUCAAUGGCUUUCAUGUGCUUCAUGACGGCUAGUGUUCAAAGAAGAGGAAGCAUGUGGUUAAUGUCCCAAGAUCACUUUCAUUCCCAUGCUUUUGUUUCCCUCCUAAGAAAAUGUAUGUUUUAUUCAUAGAAUGUCCACCUGGGAGGGAGUCAUUCAGAACAUUGGAACAGCUCUCCAUAGACUGCUGUGAGAAGAAAACCCAAGCUCAGCGUAUAUUUUAAUGAAUCAUAAUGUUCACGGGGUGAAUUGAUAUAAAGUUCAACCCUGACCAUUGAUCACUAUGUGUUGCUUUCUCAGAAUGUCUGUCAGGAUUUGUGACAACUGAUCAGGCUCCAGACUCGCCAUUUUACAUUCAACCCCACGCUGUGACAUCAUCCCAGGCUGAUGUCACAUCCCAGGCUGAUGUCCUGUCGCUGAGGGACAGAAACCAUGUCCAGCUCAUUACACGUCAAGAAUGUUUUUUUUCAAUCAGUGCUAUACAAUAUUUCAAAUCAGUCCAUUUCAUCCACUCUCUUCAACUAUGU